rnacentral:rRNA from 1 species
UACGAGGGGGGCAAAUGUUGUUCGGAAUCACUGGGCGUAAAGGGAGCGUAGGCGGGUUUCUAAGUCAGGUGUUUAAUCCCGGGGCCCAACCCCGGACAGGCACUUGAAACUGGGAAUCUUGAAUAGUGGAGAGGUCAGUGGAAUUGGGGGUGUAGCGGUGGGAUGCGUAGAGAUCCCCAAGAACACCAGUUGCGAAGGCGGCUGACUGGACACAUAUUGACGCUGAGGCUCGAAAGCAUGGGGAGCAAACAGG